UACAGAGGGGGCAAGCGUUGUUCGGAAUUACUGGGCGUAAAGGGCGCGUAGGCGGCCUACUAAGUCGAACGUGAAAUCCCCGGGCUUAACCCGGGAACUGCGUCCGAUACUGGUUGGGCUUGAAUCCGGGAGAGGGAUGUGGAAUUCCCGGUGUAGCGGUGAAAUGCGCAGAUAUCAGGAGGAACACCAAUAGCGAAGGCAGCUCGCUGGGACGUUACUGACACUGAGGCGCGAAAGCGUGGGGAGCGAACAGG
rnacentral:rRNA from 1 species